CUCUGAACUCCAUGUGCUUCAGUUAACCCUUUCCCAAUGCGGUUCUCCGAUCAUUUUGUUUUAAAAACUAAUGUUUUCAUGAUGGAGACUGCUAGGUCACAUUCCCCAGGUAAAGAUAUUCAAAUUAUAGAAACCAGCCAAAGGUUUCCAUGAGGAAGGAUAUACUGAUUUUGGACUUAGACUUUUUCAAAUCCUUUUUUUUAACUUGAUAUAACAAGAGAGGAGAUCACACUUCUGAGAGGCAGGCUCACAUGCUUCAUGUGAAAGCACUUUGUACACAGUAAGUUGCUACCCAGUGUCAGCUAUUAUGCAUGGUACAGGACCAUACUUCUCAACUACAGUGUGUACACCCCUGGGAC
rnacentral:lncRNA from 1 species